UACGUAGGGUGCAAGCGUUGUCCGGAAUUAUUGGGCGUAAAGAGCGUGUAGGCGGCCAGAUAAGUCCGCUGUGAAAUCUCGAGGCUCAACUUCGAGCUGUCGGUGGAAACUAUCUGGCUAGAGUCCGGAAGAGGAGAAUGGAAUUCCUGGUGUAGCGGUGAAAUGCGCAGAUAUCAGGAAGAACACCCGUGGCGAAGGCGGUUCUCCGGGACGGUACUGACGCUGAGACGCGAAAGCGUGGGGAGCGAACAGG
rnacentral:rRNA from 1 species